rnacentral:other from 1 species
ACUUAAUGAGUGGUAAUUCCUUAUCGGUUAUAGCUUAUACUUAAUUAAGUAUUAUGUUGUGUUUGCAUAUUGUUCGGGCAACCGAACGGAGUAACUGAAUUUUUAAGUUACUUAAUUUAACUUCCUGUAUAUUUUAGACCUAAUUUUGGGUUCGUAAUGCGCCGCUCUUAUGAGCGGUGUUUUUUUAU